GGAGAGAUGGCCGAGCGGCUUAAGGCACUGGUCUUGAAAACCAGCGCGGUGUAAACCACCGCCGUGGGUUCAAAUCCCACUCUCUCCGCCA
rnacentral:tRNA from 1 species